UACGUAGGGGGCAAGCGUUGUCCGGAUUUAUUGGGCGUAAAGAGCGUGUAGGCGGUUUGGUAGGUCCGUUGUGAAAACUCGAGGCUCAACCUCGAGACGCCGAUGGAAACCAUCAGACUAGAGUCCGGAAGAGGAGAAUGGAAUUCCCGGUGUAGCGGUGAAAUGCGCAGAUAUCGGGAAGAACACCCGUGGCGAAGGCGGUUCUCUGGGACGGUACUGACGCUGAGACGCGAAAGCGUGGGGAGCGAACAGG
rnacentral:rRNA from 1 species